CGGAAGGAUCAUUGUCGUGACCCUGACCAACGAUUUUUGGGGCAUCAUGGAUUCCGUUGGACCAUAACAAAACCCCGGCACGAUAUGUGCCAAGGAAAACAAAAAUGAGAAGGACACUACCUGUUUCGCCCCGUUUGCGGUGUGCGUACAGGUCGUGGCCUCCUUGGAAUCACAAACGACUCUCGGCAACGGAUAUCUCGGCUCACGCAUCGAUGAAGAACGUAGCAAAAUGCGAUACUUGGUGUGAAUUGCAGAAUCCCGUGAACCAUCGAGUUUUUGAACGCAAGUUGCGCCCGAAGCCAUCCGGCUGAGGGCACGCCUGCCUGGGCGUCACGCAUCGCGUCGCUCCCCACCAUACCUCCCCAACGGGUUGGCAUGGUGUUGGGGGCGGAUAAUGGCCUCCCGUGCUUGUGUUUCGGUUGGCCUAAAUAAGAGUUCCCUUCGGCGGACACACGACUAGUGGUGGUUGAAUAGACCCUCGUCUUUUGUUGCGUGUCGUGAGCUGUAAGGGUAGCCCUCAUCAAAGACCCCAUUGUAUCGUCUUCGGAUGAUGCUUCGACCGCGACCCCAGGUCAGGCGGGACUACCCGCUGAG
rnacentral:rRNA from 1 species